rnacentral:rRNA from 1 species
UGGGGAAUUUUGGACAAUGGGCGAAAGCCUGAUCCAGCAAUGCCGCGUGUGUGAAGAAGGCCUUCGGGUUGUAAAGCACUUUUGUCCGGAAAGAAAUCCUUGGCUCUAAUACAGUCGGGGGAUGACGGUACCGGAAGAAUAAGCACCGGCUAACUACGUGCCAGCAGCCGCGGUAAUACGUAGGGUGCAAGCGUUAAUCGGAAUUACUGGGCGUAAAGCGUGCGCAGGCGGUUUGCUAAGACCGAUGUGAAAUCCCCGGGCUCAACCUGGGAACUGCAUUGGUGACUGGCAGGCUAGAGUAUGGCAGAGGGGGGUAGAAUUCCACGUGUAGCAGCGAAAUGCGUAGAGAUGUGGAGGAAUACCGAUGGCGAAGGCAGCCCCUGGGCCAAUACUGACGCUCAUGCACGAAAGCGUGGGGAGCAAACAGGAUUAGAUACCCUGGUAGUCCACGCCCUAAAACGAUGUCAACUAGUUGUUGGGGAUUCAUUUCCUUAGUAACGUAGCUAACGCGUGAAGUUGACCGCCUGGGGAGUACGAUCGCAAGAUUAAAACUUAAAGGAAUUGACGGGGUCAUAGCUGUUUCCU